AGGCUGGUUAGGUGAGGCUGGCUGCAGUAAUCACUGCCAGUCUGCCGUAGCCAUACAAGAGCUAUCUCCAGAGUUUACAGCGAAUGAUCUGAAAAACAGAAACUACCCAGUGAACAGCAGUUCCAUGGGAGAAAUUGCCUUAGAUAUGUUGGAGGAGAAUGGCUAGACUGCUUACAUAACAGGAGGAAACCUCCAGCAGGGCCAGGCUCAGGAAGGGGCAUGUCCAUGCCUUUGUGACUACAGUGUACCCAUCUUCUGAUGGCUGCUUCCUGUACUCCACAGUCACCAGAUCUCAAUCCAAUACAGCACAUUUGGGAUGUGGUGGAAAAGGAGAUUCACAUUAUUGAUGUGCAGCUGGCAAAUAUGCAGCAACUUUGUAA